rnacentral:lncRNA from 1 species
GCACAGUCUCAACCUGCUGUAAUUCACUCACAUCCUCUGACCCUUCCUGAUUUUCUCUGCACACGUGGAGCUGUUUUUCUUCUAUGCCUUCAGAAACCCUGCCCAUGUGUGGUUACAGAAAUUGGAAAUGCAUCCAUUAAAUAAAGGACUGCAUGACUUUUGUGACCUGACAAUGAACACUGUUUGGUGACAAGUUAAAGCCAAAGGGGAAGCAUUAAAAACCAAAAGCAAACCCGGGCUGAGUUGGGGUAGAUGAGGCGGAGGUGAGUGAUUCUUCUUGAGCUUGUUGGUGACUCGUAUUCUCUCUCGGCAUAGAGUUUGUCAGUAACUGCCAUCCAGGUUUUUCAUUCCUUUUGCUAUGCCCACAAUUUUCAUACAGUAUGACUAUUUUAAAAAAAUCAUUUAAAAUAGAUUCAAAGCAGACUGUAACUUGAAAUCAGUAGUCCAGGCAGCUGCUUGUUACCUUCAAAGAAAUCAUCAUUUUUGCUAGUUCUCGGCAAUCACAGGGUUUUGUUUUUUCCUUUUGACUGUUUCUGUUCCUGGUUACCUGACUUUAUGCAUUCUUGUUCGUUGAUAUGAUUACAAGUGAUUUAAAUAGGCAGAUAUUUUCCUAGAUGCAGAACUAAUUAAGUUUAGUUGAAGAUUUUAAAAGGUUGGAAACUUCCUUUAAUCUUCAACUUUUAAGAUGCCAAAUACCAGUUCUGCAGCUUCUGUAAGCUGAAAAUAAAAUCCCUCCAAA